UCUUAAUAAUUCACUAAUGCUUUCAUGGUCUAAAAAAUAAUGUAUGUAAGUAAUGUAUAAGUUAAAGUAUAUAGUAAUGUAUAAGUUGCAUGUAAUGAAAUAAUAUUUCCUUUCUUUCUGUCUUACAGGAUUGUUUGCAGAUAAUGCUGUUCUUCUUUUUCAGAAGUUUUUGGGGAGCCAACCCUCACAAACCUUCCUAAAAACUAAAAGAGCUAUUACUGAGUCUCAGCGACUCUUGCCACGAUCAGCUCUUCCCAGAAGAGAAGGAAGACCAAGGAAAUGAUUUGCUCAGGAUGAGGAAUGAAGAUGGUCAUCUUGUGCUCAAGCAAACAGAAGUCCUCUGAUGAUCUCAUCAACCAAAUGAGGGGUUUUGACCAAGUGAUGCUCUUGAAAGGACUGAAAGAAGAGGAUGUGGUAAAUUGUCUUCAGAGAAAAAGCUUCUCAAAAGAUCUUAAAACAGCUUGAAGAAUGGUCUGGGAUCUUAGGACUGGGAGAUCUCACCGGCACCCAGUUAACCUCCAUAGAGAACAUUUAUCAGAAGCGCUGUCUGGGUAGGGCAAGAAACAUCAUCAAGGAUGCCUCUCACCCUAACCAUGGACCUUUCACCCUCCUUCCAUCCGGCAGGCGUUAAAGGAGCCUACGCUCUCGAACUAGUAGACUCAGGAAGAGCUUCUUCCCCGAGGCUGUGACACUCCUGAACACCGCACCACCAAUCUAACCUGCACCUGCUCUUUUACUGCACUGGUCACAGUACUUUACAUACAUGUAUUGCACUACUCAUAUUUUGCACAGACUGCACAUGGUUAAAUCUAUUACACUAUAAACUGUCUAAAGCUGUUACUGUACAAGCACAGUAAACUAUUUCUACAGUAAAUAUAAUUGCACUACUAUUAUUUUGCAUAUAAUAAAUUGUUAAACUAUACUUUUGCACACUCAUUCAACUGUAUUUAUUACCACUGUUCUCAAGUUCCUGCUAUUCAUAAUGUAUAUAUAAUCCUUCUUUGCUCUGUUCAUAAUGUACAUACAAUCCCUACAUUACAUUCAUAUUUAUAUUCUGUAUAUACUCUGAUCAAUAUUGUAUAUAGCAACUCCACUGUACAUUCUGUAUAUCAUAGCUUUACUUACUCUGCACUUUUAUGUAUAUAAAACACUAUAUUCUUGCACUUCUGGUUAGAUGCUAACUGCAUUUCAUUAGCUCUGUACUUGUACUCUGCAUAAUGACAAUAAAGUUGAAUCUAAUCUAAUCUAAUCUAAUCUAAUCUAAUCUUCUGGCUGAGAACAAGCUACACCACAUCAGUGCUGGAUAUCAACCACAAGCUGUUUCCAGACACGAGAGAAGAUCACGAUGAAACCAGUUUAGAAGUGUUGAUAAGGAAUCAUUAUUUUCUGAAACAGUAUCAAAUGUC